CUACGGGGGGCUGCAGUGAGGAAUAUUGCACAAUGGGGGGAACCCUGAUGCAGCAACGCCGCGUGGAGGAUGACGCAUUUCGGUGUGUAAACUCCUUUUAUAUGUCAAGAAAAUGACGGUAGCAUAUGAAUAAGCACCGGCUAACUCCGUGCCAGCAGCCGCGGUAAUACGGAGGGUGCAAGCGUUACUCGGAAUCACUGGGCGUAAAGGACGCGUAGGCGGGUUGGAAAGUCAGGUGUGAAAUCCUACAGCUUAACUGUAGAACUGCGCUUGAAACUUCUAAUCUAGGGUAUGGGAGGGGGAGAUGGAAUUAGUGGUGUAGGGGUAAAAUCCGUAGAAAUCACUAGGAAUACCUAAAGCGAAGGCGAUCUCCUGGAACAUUACUGACGCUAAGGCGUGAAAGCGUGGGGAGCAAACAGGAUUAGAUACCCCCGUAGUC
rnacentral:rRNA from 1 species